AGUGAACGCUGGCGGUAGGCCUAACACAUGCAAGUCGAACGGCAGCACAGUAAGAGCUUGCUCUUACGGGUGGCGAGUGGCGGACGGGUGAGGAAUACAUCGGAAUCUACUUUUUCGUGGGGGAUAACGUAGGGAAACUUACGCUAAUACCGCAUACGACCUACGGGUGAAAGCAGGGGAUCUUCGGACCUUGCGCGAUUGAAUGAGCCGAUGUCGGAUUAGCUAGUUGGCGGGGUAAAGGCCCACCAAGGCGACGAUCCGUAGCUGGUCUGAGAGGAUGAUCAGCCACACGGUAUCUGAGACACGGUCCAGACUCCUACGGGAGGCAGCAGUGGGGAAUAUUGCGCAAUGGGCGCAAGCCUGAUCCAGCCAUACCGCGUGGGUGAAGAAGGCCCUCGGGUUGUAAAGCCCUUUUGUUGGUAAAGAAAAGCAGCAGGUUAAUACCCCGCUGUUCUGACGGUACCAAAAGAAUAAGCACCGGCUAACUUCGUG
rnacentral:rRNA from 1 species